GUCUACGACCAUGGCACCCUGAACAAGCCUGAUGUCUGAUCUCAGAAGCUAAGCAGGGUCAGGCUUGGUUAGUACUUGGAUAGGAGACCAUCUAGAAAGACUAGAUGCUGUAGGUA
rnacentral:rRNA from 1 species